AUCAGGUUAAAUGACAAAAAGGUAAAGAAUCCUUUCUGAGGGGUUUAACCACAUAAACCGCUAAGUAAAAUAUUUAUAAUGACAAUAUUUUAUAUAUCAGUCUUGACAAAAUCACGUGCCAGCAGUCGCGGUAAUACGGGGGAGACGAGUGUUAUUCAUCUUUAGUAGGUUUAAAGGGUACCUAGACGGCAUAUUUAACUUUGAUAGAGUAAAAAUGAGCUAGAGUUUUAUAAGAGGGGUAUAGUUCAGUACUGAUGGAGUAGAGAUAAAAUGCUUUGAUACUAUUAGGAACUGGUGACGGCGAAGGCAGACCCUUAUGUAAAAACUGACGUUGAGGGACGAAGGCUAAGGUAAUGAAUAGGAUUAGAUACCCUAGUAGUCUUUGCAGACAAUUAUGAGUGUCAUAGAUUAAAUUAUAUUUGGUUUAUAAAUGAAAAUGUAAGCACUCCACCUCAAGAGUAAUGUGGCAACGCAGGAACUGAAAUCAUUAGACCGUGUCUGAAACCAGUAGUGAAGUAUGUUAUUUAAUUCGAUAGCCCGCGAAAAACCUUACCAUAGUUUGAAUAUAAUAGUAAUUAUUAUUUCUUUUUAAAAAGGGGUAUAAUUAUCUAUUAUACAAGUGCUGCAUGGCUGUCUUCAGUUGGUGUCGUGAGAUGCAGGUUAGCUCCUAGAAUCAACGAAAUCCCUUACAUUUAUUUCUUUUUGAUAAUGUAGUUAUCUGGCUUAUCGGCUGUUAUAAAAG
rnacentral:rRNA from 1 species